CUGUGCUCUCACUGGGGCCUCCCCAAAGCCUCUUUUCUCAGCACUUUGGGGCCCCAGUCCUCCCCAUCUUGCUUCGACCUUGUGGUGUUGGAAAGGGGCCCUGGAUUUAAAAGAUUCAGAUUAGAAUUCCGUAUGCAUCACAUGUUUCUUGUGUGUCUCCACACAACUUGAAUUCUCCGACUCUCAGUGCUAUAGACUGAAUGUUUGUGUUUCCUCAAAAUUCAUAUGUUGAAUCCUACCCCACAGUAUGAUGGUAUUUGGAGGUGGGACCUGGGGGAGGUGAUUAGGUCAUGUGGGUGGGGCCUUCAUGAAUGGGUUUAGUGCCCUUAUAAAAGUGGCCCCAGAGUACUCCCUGGCCCCUUCUGCCAUGUGAAGAUACAGCAAGAAAACGGCUGUCUAUCAACCAGGAAGAGGCCCUCACCAGAAUCCGCCACACUGACACCCUGAUCUCAGGAUUCCAGCCUCCAGAACUGCGAGAAAUAAAUUUCUGUUGUUAAUAAGCCACCUAGUCUAUGACAUUCCAUUAUAGCCUCCCUGGCAGAUGAAGACGCUCAGUCUCCCAGUUUGUCAAACAAGGGUGAUUGACACCGUAUCACAUUUCCCCUGCAGCCAGAGCGCGCGUUCUAUUAUAUCAUCAAUUACAUACGGACACACAUCUGGGUUCUUGGGUUCUUGCAGCUGAGCGCUCAGCUAUCUGGGAGAAGAGGCCCCGUCCCGUCUCGGCUGCAGCAGAUGAAGACUGGACCAUAUGCCGAUCGCUUGGCUGGACCCGUGAAUCUGAGAGACUUCCCAUUCCAUUUUCAAAACUUCCAGCAAAGCCAGAUGUAUGAGAAAAAAGACAUCCGGCCUCUGUAAGUUUUGACACAGUAGGAAACAGACUGAUCCCUGGAAGAUCAAUACAAAAGGCAACGCGGCAGUUCGACAGCUGAAAAUACAGGCGGCGGCAGCCAGCCACGCCUGUGGGCAGGGGAGAGGGAGUAGAAUGUACUUACGGACCCAGUAAUACUGACCAUAUUGAAGGGUAAGUGGCAUCCAAAGCGAGGCUGGCACUUGCUAAAGUGGUAGUAAACCAGAGCACACCUUCAGUGCCGGAGAAGAACGUUUCUGUCGCUCCCUGGAACUGCUCCUGGAAAUGCCAUGGCUCAGAUGAAGCCCACACAUGCCCAUACCCACAGCUUCAGUUUUUUACAUCAGCCCACAUUGCAAUCUGGGAGCGAUAGGAGCAGAGGUAGACCCUCUGCUCCCAUCCCUGAUAGCCAGGGACAAUUUGCUCUUAUGAGAGAUCAAAGACCUUGAAUGCGUUCAUUUAUUUUGCUAUGAGUGGAGACAGUCUCCCUGAGUAGGUACUCAAGGGAGAAUUCUGGAACAUAUUUCUGCCUGUGGGGGUGCUAAAGUAUUGCAGCAUGUGUUUAGUCUGGCAUAUGUUGGAGCCACCAUGCCCAGUGGGGCGCUGACUGACUGGGAAUGGGUGCCAGCCUGGGGCAGGUAUGCUGGGAUUUAAGUUCUUUUCUGUGGAUCUAACCAAGUUGCUCCUUCCUUCCCUGCUUGGUACAAACUAGUCGAGAAAACAAAAAAACAAGGCAUUUGCAACAAAUUUAAGUACAAUAUGGAUAGAAUGAUUCUAGAGAUGCCCUGAGGCAGUGCCCGGUGGAUCCCAGCUGGGGAACACACAGGGGUGCUUUGGGAGUUUAGGGAAGAGAAGGGCUGUGGGGAAAUUAGGGAUCAGUGAAGCUCCUGGGGUUCAGGAACAGUUGAUAGAGCCCAGUCGGGGCCCUUGGCUAACCCCAGAGAGCCAGGUCUGUGGAAAGCCAUAUCUGCUUCUGAGAAAAUGUUUGAAGGAAGCGGGAAUCAGGAAUAUGGUUCUAUCCAGAACCCCUUGGAUUUCAGCCUAAGACAGAGGAGAAGGCCUGGCUUCCUGGGAAGGCUCAGAAUGGGCAUAUUCCACUUCAUGGAGUAGUAUAUUCCCCCAGACAUGGCCCCUAUCGGACCACACUGUGGACUCACUCCCUUCAUCAAUGGCUGAGAGACUAAAUUAGGCUAAAAUGCACAUGAUGGUCAGGCUGAAGUGGCAACCAAGUGACAAAGCCUGCAAACUGGGGCAGAUGUGAGGACCCUCCUUGUGCAAGUCCUAGGCCCAGGGUUGAGGAAAUGACUCUGGGCUGUCAAGCCCCAGCUGAUGGCCUCUCCUCCACUGGCAGCAGCAGCAACCUUCCUUAUUCUCUGCCUCCUCCCAGUCCUAUGCACACGGGCCAGGUCUGGAAUGUCACUGGGGAGCCGCCAAUGAAGCCAAGCAGAUGAAAUGGUACAAAUAGUUGAGGAUACAAGGCAUCUGCAAAAAGUGUAAUUACAAUAUAGACGUCACAAUGCAAGAGAUGCCACAAGGCAGUGCACAGUGGACCCCAGCUGGGGAACAGGCAGGGGUGUCUGGGGAGUUUAGGGAAGGGCUGUAGGGAAAUUAGUGGUUAGUGCAGGUAAUGCUGGCAAUGUUUGCAGAAGGCAUGUGUCAUGAUAUGGUAGAACAUGUUCUCCAGAGAAGCUCCUUUAAAAGGCUCUUCUACGCCGGGUGCAGUGGCUCAUGUCUGUAAUUCCAGCACUUUGGGAGGUCGAAGUGGGCAGAUCACCUGAGGUCAGGAGUUCAAGAACAGCCUGGCCAACAUGGCGAAACCCCAUUUGUAAAAUAUGAAAAUUACAAAUUAGUCAGGUAUGGUGGCGGGCGCCUAUAAUUCCAGCUACUCGGGAGGCUGAGUCAGGGAGAAUUGCUGGAACCCAAGAGGCGGAGGUUGCAGUGAGCCAAGAUCCUACCACAGCAAUCCAGCCUGUGCAACAGAGUGAGACUUCAUCUCAAAAUAAAUAAAUAAAUAAAUAAAAUAAACAUUUACAAAGACUCUUCUUAGCCUGGGUAUAGAACUGACAUUAGUGGUAGAUCUAGAGAAUAAAAUGAUCUAUUCUUUUCCUCCUCUGCAGGUCAAGUCCAUUCUUAUGUUUAUUUAUGAAUCCAUUAUUAUGUUCACAUAUAUGUUUCUUCUCUUUUUUUUCUAUGUGCAUGGAACUGUAUUGGCCUUGUGACCAUUAUAGUGCAUUUUAUUAGCAUUUGUAAGCAUUGCAAUAAAUUAGACAUUUUUAAAGUGCAUAUCUCUAAAAAUAAUUACUUCAGUUUUGGCUAACACAGAGGUAUCCCCAAGAGGAACAUCAAUUUCUUUUGUUGGAGAAAAG
rnacentral:lncRNA from 1 species